rnacentral:rRNA from 1 species
GCAUAUCAAUAAGCGGAGGAAAAGAAACCAACAGGGAUUGCCUCAGUAACGGCGAGUGAAGCGGCAAAAGCUCAAAUUUGAAAUCCUCCGGGAAUUGUAAUUUGAAGGUGGGGUUGAAUAGGUCUAGAUACUUUAAGUCCAUUGGAAAAUGGCGCCAUGGAGGGUGAUAGCCCCGUAAAAGUAUUCAAACCUUCUUUUCUUCCCCUCCUAAGAGUCGAGUUGUUUGGGAAUGCAGCUCUAAGUGGGUGGUAAAUUCCAUCUAAAGCUAAAUAUUGGCGAGAGACCGAUAGCGAACAAGUACAGUGAUGGAAAGAUGAAAAGCACUUUGAAAAGAGAGUGAAAAAGUACGUGAAAUUGUUGAAAGGGAAGGGCUUGCAAGCAGACACAACCUCGGUUGGGCCAGCAUCGGAGUGGGGGGAGACAAAAAAGGUUAGGAAUGUAGCUCCCUUUAGAGUAUUAUAUCCUAGCCCUAUAUCUCCAUCCCCUUCCGAGGCCUGCGAUUCUUCAAGGAUGCUGGCGUAAUGGUUGCAAGUCGGCCGUCUUGAAACACGGACCAAGGAGUCUAACGUCUAUGCGAGUGUUUGAGUAUCAAACCCAAACGCGCAAUGAAAGUAAUAGGAGCGAACCUCACGGUGCAGCUCCGACCACAUUAAGGCCUAAACCAUAAUGUGAGUAAGCAUGGCUGUUGGGACCCGAAAGAUGGUGAACUAUACCUGGAUAGGGUGAAGCCAGAGGAAACUCUGGUGGAGGCUCGUAGCGGUUCUGACGUGCAAAUCGAUCGUCGAAUCUGGGUAUAGGGGCGAAAGACUAAUCGAACCAUCUAGUAGCUGGUUCCUGCCGAA